AUGGAGCCCACCGUGCGCGACGUUCUGGCCUUCCACCGCGUCGACCGCGCCGCCUACGAGCACCUCGUCUCGCUCGGCGCCGGCCGGCAGCCCGCCCGCGACGCCGUGGCGCUCCUCAUGUGGGUGCACCACAGCGUGGGCGCCGACGCGGUCGCCAGCGUGUGCCACGAGGUCCGCACCCCGGCCGACGCCGCGCGGCUCGUCUCCGACGCCCUCGCCGUGCUGCACGGAGUCGCCUGGCCGCGGCCGCGUCCGUUCCUGGCCGGCGGCUGCGGAGGGGCAGUGGCCGCGGACGCGCGCCCGUUCCUGGCCGGGCUGGUCACGGGCGGCGGCGGCGCGCGGCGUGGCGUGGCGGGCGUGCUGCGGGGCGUCGGGGCGCUGGUGUUCGACGACCGGCUGCAGGCGCUGCUGCGGCGGCACGAGAAGGAGGGCGGCCCGGUCCCGGCGGAGCUGGCGGCGCCGUACCUGGCCGGCGACGCCGACGAGGAGGGCGAGGGCGGGCGGUCGCUGUUCAUCACGUUCUCCAAGGGGUUCCCAUUAACGCGCGAGGAGAUCAGUGCCUACUUCACAGAGAGGUGGGGUGAGGGGUGCGUGGAGAGCGUGAUGAUCCAGAGGACGCCGCCGCUGGGGGAGGCGCCGAGGUACGGCAGGGUCGCGUUCCGGUGGGCGUCCGUGGCGGAGGCGGUGCUGGGCGGCCAGCGCCUGGUGAAGCUGCUCGUCAACGGGCGGCAGCUAUGGGCGCGCAAGUACGUCCCCAAGCCACACCUACCACCACUAAGCUAG
rnacentral:rRNA from 1 species